AUGUGCCAAACCAAGAAGAAAUGGGCGAUUGUGAAGUUCCAUGCGUUGCAGGUGUAGCGGAUGAUGGGGAUGUGGUUCUCAUGGCUGGGUGGGCAGGUCAGGACCGCUAGGGACAAGGUGAAGAUUCCUGCCACCACCAGGUAGAAAGCAAUGACCCAACACAAGAGGAAGAAGGAGAUGAUGAAGUUCCAUACGUUGCAGAUGUAGCGGAUGUGAAUGUCAUGGCACGGUGGGCAGGUCAGGAGCACCAGGGACAAGGUGAAGACUCCUGCCACCACCAGGUAGAAAGGUGUUUAUUACCACGGACAGACAGCGUGCGUCUUACCUCACACUGCCGCUGCUUCUAGAAGAUUCUGAAACCGCUGUGGUGAAGCACUCUGUUUCUUGACCCUGUGCGACUGUUAAGAACUUCCCACACGCAGGUCAGCACUGCUUAUUACAAACUGCACACAGUGAAAUUGUGAGAUAGAAUCUGUUCUAAAUAUUUAUAAGUACAGAAAUAUGGCAUGUGGGACAUAUAACUACUAAACUAUUCUUUGACUUUUGCCCUUCUUUGCCUCUAUUUAUUAUCAAACAAUGUUGUUUAUGUUUGUUUAAGUAAAGCACAUU